UCAGGCUCUUGAUGUGGUUCUGAGAGAGAAACCCUCUACCAAUUACACCAUUGUGGCGAGAUCUUUCUUUUCGACGGUAUUUGGGCAUAGGAGUGAAAUUGGUGCUGGUAUGGAAUGCUGGAGAGGUUAUUAUCAAUCUCUUCGUCCCACUCAGAUGGGUCUGUCACUGAAUAUUGAUAUCUCAGCAACUUCUUUUUACAAGUCUG
rnacentral:misc_RNA from 1 species